rnacentral:tRNA from 1 species
GCUUCGUUAGCUCAGUCGGUAGAGCGUCAGUCUCAUAUUACAAUUGUAAUCUGAAGGUCGAGAGUUCGAGCCUCCCACGGAGCA